CCUACGGGUGGCAGCAGUGGGGGAUAUUGCACAAUGGGGGAAACCCUGAUGCAGCGACGCCGCGUGAAUGAAGACGGCCUUCGGGGUGUAAAGCCCUGUCGCAGGGGACGAAAAUGACGGUACCCUGCAAGGAAGCUCCGGCUAACUACGUGCCAGCAGCCGCGGUAAUACGUAGGGAGCAAGCGUUGUCCGGAUUUACUGGGUGUAAAGGGGGCGCAGGCGGGAGGGAAAGACAGGAGGGAAAUCCCGGGGCUCAACCCCUGUACGGGUUUGGAAACUGGAUGGCUGGAGGAGAGGAGGGGCAGGCGGAAGUCCUAGGGGAGCGGUGAAAUGCGGAGAUAGUAGGAGGA
rnacentral:rRNA from 1 species